UUUAGCUGUCAGGGAUCCUGUUGCAUCUCUGCCUCAGCCAGUCUGUGCACAGAUCAUGGAGCACCAGGGCCGUGGAGCAUGUGGGCUAUGGAAUCGGGUUGCCUAUUUUCAUCUUGACUCCAUCACUUGCUGGGCAACCUUGACUCAGUGAAUGACAUCAUAAAAAUGGAACAUUCAAAUGAGAAUGUCCAAGGACCUGCUGACUUCACUGCUGAAUUCUACCAAAUAUUUAAAGAAGAACUCAUAUUUUCCAAAAAACCAAAGAGGAAGGAAUACUUCCAAACUCUUUUUACAAGGCAAGCAUUACCCUGAUAACAAAACUAGACAAGGACACUGCAAGAAGAGAAAAUUAUAGUCCAGUAUGCUUCAAGAACAUAGAUGCAAAAAUCUUCAACAAAGUACCAGCAAACCAAAUUCAGUAGCACAUUAGAAAGACCAUUCACCAUGAUUACAUGGGAUUUAUCCGUAGGGUGCAAGGAUGGCUCAACAUAUGCAAAUCAAUAAAUGUUAUACACCAUAUUAACAGAAGGGAUAAAAACCAUAUGAUCAUCUCAAUAGUUUCAGAAAAAGCAUUUGACAAAAUGCAACAUUUUUUCCUGAUUAAAAACUCUCAACAGAUUCGGUAUAGAAGAAAUGUACCUCAACACAAUGAAGCCCAUAUACUGCAAACCCACAGCUAACAUCCAACUCAGUGGACUCAGUGGUGAAAAGUUCAGAGCUUUUUCCUUUAAUAUCAGGUUCAAGACCAGGAUGCCCACUCUCAUCACUUCUAUGUAACAUAGUACUGGAAUUUCUAGCCAGAGCAAUUAGACAAGGGAAAGAAGGAAAAGAUGCCAAGAACACACAAUGGGGAGAGAAGACUUUGCUAAGUUGUGCUCGGAAAACUGGAUAUUCACAUGCAGAAGAAUAAAAUUAGACC
rnacentral:lncRNA from 1 species